rnacentral:rRNA from 1 species
GAUGAACGCUGGCGGCGUGCCUAAUACAUGCAAGUCGAGCGAACAGACGAGGAGCUUGCUCCUCUGACGUUGGCGGCGGACGGGUGAGUAACACGUGGAUAACCUACCUAUAAGACUGGGAUAACUUCGGGAAACCGGAGCUAAUACCGGAUAAUAUAUUGAACCGCAUGGUUCAAUAGUGAAAGACGGUUUUGCUGUCACUUAUAGAUGGAUCCGCGCCGCAUUAGCUAGUUGGUAAGGUAACGGCUUACCAAGGCGACGAUGCGUAGCCGACCUGAGAGGGUGAUCGGCCACACUGGAACUGAGACACGGUCCAGACUCCUACGGGAGGCAGCAGUAGGGAAUCUUCCGCAAUGGGCGAAAGCCUGACGGAGCAACGCCGCGUGAGUGAUGAAGGUCUUCGGAUCGUAAAACUCUGUUAUUAGGGAAGAACAAAUGUGUAAGUAACUAUGCACGUCUUGACGAUACCUAAUCAGAAAGCCACGGCUAACUACGUG